rnacentral:lncRNA from 1 species
UAGGAUAGAGCUGAAAGUUGUGUUCAUUGUUGCUUGAGAUUACCUGAAUGCUUUUGCUUGAGAUUACCUGAAUGCUUUUGGUUUUGUGUAUAUGGAAAGUUGAAGUGUGCAAACAUACUGAGGAUUUGUAAUCAAGGAAAUUGGAUCCAAAUAAAAAAGCGGAGAUUGUCUGAAGAACUGCAACAAAUGUUAUAAAUCAUCAUCUUCCCUUUCCACUCCCCCUUCUUGCACAUUCUAAAUGUUCAUCACAGAAGACUUAGAAUUCCAGUCUUGCUGCAGUUUCAAAGGAAGACACUUUUAUGCCCUUCUUAAGAGACUGGUUACUUGCAUAAUCGUAUCUGCCUUCAACAAAAUAAAUCAAUACAUAAACAGCAU